AGUUGUGGAAUGGGACCUCUCCAGCCCGUCCACUUCUCGCAGUGGACGGGCUGGAGAGGUCCCAUUUCGCAACU
rnacentral:pre_miRNA from 1 species